rnacentral:rRNA from 1 species
UACGAAGGGGGCUAGCGUUGCUCGGAAUCACUGGGCGUAAAGGGUGCGUAGGCGGGUCUUUAAGUCCGGGGUGAAAUCCUGGAGCUCAACUCCAGAACUGCCUUUGAUACUGAGGAUCUUGAGUUCGGGAGAGGGGAGUGGAACUGCGAGUGUAGAGGUGAAAUUCGUAGAUAUUCGCAAGAACACCAGUGGCGAAGGCGGCUCACUGGCCCGAUACUGACGCUGAGGCACGAAAGCGUGGGGAGCAAACAGG